CUACGUGCCAGCAGCCGCGGUAAUACGGAAGGUCCGGGCGUUAUCCGGAUUUAUUGGGUUUAAAGGGAGCGUAGGCUGGAGAUUAAGUGUGUUGUGAAAUGUAGACGCUCAACGUCUGACUUGCAGCGCAUACUGGUUUCCUUGAGUACGCACAACGUUGGCGGAAUUCGUCGUGUAGCGGUGAAAUGCUUAGAUAUGACGAAGAACUCCGAUUGCGAAGGCAGCUGACGGGAGCGCAACUGACGCUGAAGCUCGAAGGUGCGGGUAUCGAACAGGAUUAGAUACCCUGGUAGUCCGCACAGUAAACGAUGGAUGCCCGCUGUUGGUACUUGGUAUCAGCGGCUAAGCGAAAGCAUUAAGCAUCCCACCUGGGGAGUACGCCGGCAACGGUGAAACUCAAAGGAAUUGACGGGGGCCCGCACAAGCGGAGGAACAUGUGGUUUAAUUCGAUGAUACGCGAGGAACCUUACCCGGGCUUGAAUUGCAGAGGAAGGAUUUAGAGAUAAUGACG
rnacentral:rRNA from 1 species